UUCCGGUUGAUCCUGCCGGACCUUACUGCUAUCGGGUGGGACUAAGACAUGCGAGUCGAGCGUCUCUAGCUAUGUUGAGACGCGGCAGACGGCUCAGUAACACGUGGCUAACCUACCCUCAGGACAAGGAUAAACCCGGGAAACUGGGGCUAAUACUUGAUAGGCGAAGAUGCCUGGAAUGGUUUUUCACCUAAAGGGCUUUAGAAACAUGCUUCUAAAGUCGCCUGAGGAUGGGGCCGCGUCCGAUCAGGUUGUUGGUGAGGUAACGGCUCACCAAGCCUAUAACCGGUACGGGCCGUGAGAGCGGUAGCCCGGAGAUGGGUACUGAGACAAGGACCCAGGCCCUACGGGGCGCAGCAGUCGCGAAAACUCCGCAAUGCACGAAAGUGUGACGGGGCUACCCCGAGUGCCAUCCGCUGAGGAUGGCUUUUCUUUGGUAUAACUAGCCAGGGGAAUAAGGAGAGGGCAAGACUGGUGUCGGCCGCCGCGGUAAUACCAGCUCUCCGAGUGGUAGGGAUGAUUAUUGGGCUUAAAGCGUCCGUAGCCGGCUUAGCAAGUCUCCUGUUAAACUCAGCGACCUAAUCGUUGAAUCGCGGGAGAUACUACUAGGCUAGGAGGCGGGAGAGGUCGACGGUACUUCUGGGGUAGGGGUGAAAUCCUAUAAUCCCGGGAGGACCACCAGUGGCGAAGGCUGUCGACUAGAACGCGCUCGACGGUGAGGGACGAAAGCUGGGGGAGCGAACCGGAUUAGAUACCCGGGUAGUCCCAGCCGUAAACGAUGCGGGCUAGGUGUUGGGAUGGCUACGUGCCAUUUCAGUGCCGCAGGGAAGCCAUUAAGCCCGCCGCCUGGGGAGUACGGCCGCAAGGCUGAAACUUAAAGGAAUUGGCGGGGGAGCACCACAAGGCGUGAAGCUUGCGGUUCAAUUGGAUUCAACGCCGGG
rnacentral:rRNA from 1 species